UGGGGAAUAUUGGACAAUGGGCGCAAGCCUGAUCCAGCCAUGCCGCGUGAGUGAUGAAGGCCUUAGGGUUGUAAAGCUCUUUCGCCGGUGAAGAUAAUGACGGUAACCGGAGAAGAAGCCCCGGCUAACUUCGUGCCAGCAGCCGCGGUAAUACGAAGGGGGCUAGCGUUGCUCGGAAUCACUGGGCGUAAAGCGCACGUAGGCGGAUCGUUAAGUCAGGGGUGAAAUCCUGGAGCUCAACUCCAGAACUGCCCUUGAUACUGGCGAUCUCGAGUUCGAGAGAGGUUGGUGGAACUCCGAGUGUAGAGGUGAAAUUCGUAGAUAUUCGGAAGAACACCAGUGGCGAAGGCGGCCAACUGGCUCGAUACUGACGCUGAGGUGCGAAAGCGUGGGGAGCAAAACAGGAUUAGACACCUGGUAGUCCACGCCGUAAACGAUGGAUGCUAGCCGUUGGGGGGUUUACCUCUCAGUGGCGCAGCUAACGCCUUAAGCAUCCCGCCUGGGGAGUACGGUCGCAAGAUUAAAACUUAAAUGAAUUGACGGGGUCAUAGCUGUUUCCU
rnacentral:rRNA from 1 species